rnacentral:rRNA from 1 species
GAUGAACGCUGGCGGCGUGCUUAACACAUGCAAGUCGAACGAAGUGGCGAACGGGUGAGUAACGCGUAAUCAACCUGCCCUUCAGAGGGGGACAACAGUUGGAAACGACUGCUAAUACCGCAUACUGAAUGAGGGGAUUGCGUCUGCUUAGCUCGUUGGCGGGGUAACGGCCCACCAAGGCGAUGAUCAGUAGCCGGUCUGGGAGGGAGAACGGCCACAAUGGGAAUGAGACACGGGCCAGGAUCCUACGGUAGGGAGCAGUGGGGAAUUUUCCGCAAUGGACGAAAGUCUGACGAAGCAACGCCGCGUGAGUGAUGACGGCCUUCGGGUUGUAAAGGUAUGUUAAUCGGGACGCGGUACCGGAAUAGAAAGCAACGGCUAACUACGUGCCAGCAGCCGCGGUAAUUC